rnacentral:rRNA from 1 species
UACGAGCGGUCCAAACGUUAUUCGGAAUCACUGGGCUUACAGAGUUCGUAGGCGGUUCUACAAGUGGGGUGUGAAAGCCCUCGGCUCAACCGAGGAACUGCGCUCCAAACUGUAGAACUAGAGGAAGAUAGAGGUGAGCGGAACUGAUGGUGGAGCGGUGAAAUGCGUUGAUAUCAUCAGGAACACCGGAGGCGAAGGCGGCUCACUGGGUCUUUUCUGACGCUGAGGAACGAAAGCUAGGGGAGCAAACGGG